rnacentral:lncRNA from 1 species
ACGCUCCGCCGGAUCAUCAGUCAGGCCAAGAAGCAUCCGAGCUUGAUCACCCUCUUUGUAUUUAUUGGAGCUUUGUAUUUAUUGGAGAUACUGGAGCAGCACUGUAUGUCUUGCGUCUGGCAUUGUUCAAUCCAAAUGUUAGUUGGGACAGAAAGAAUAACCCAGAGCCCUGGAACAAGCUGGGUCCCAAUGAUUAAUACAAGUUCUACUCAGUGAAUGUGGAUUACAGCAAACUGAAGAAAGAAGGUCCAUAUUUCUAA